CCAUCAGAACUCAAAAACGAAGAAUAUUUUCCGCGUGUCAACUCCUCAAUCUGUACAUUUCGAUCAUCACAAGCCGGAUUUUCAUUUUCCACCACUACCGUCACCUCCUCCUCAUCAACAGGAGCAACGGCAGCAGCGGCGGCGGCUGAGGCAUCAACGGCCUUAGCCGCCGCCGGAGUGAAGUCAGGAGAACCGCGGUUGUUCGACCAGGAAGCCGCAACGACUUGUGCAACGCCGAUGUUGCUGCAGUUUCGACGAGCUUUGACGCUCAGUUGCCGCACGAAGUUUGGCGGAAACCUAAGGAUCAGAGAAGACAUGCCACCGUGAAUCGACGAUCCGUGAUUUAACGAGUUUGCCUUACC
rnacentral:lncRNA from 1 species